rnacentral:rRNA from 1 species
GGAUAACCUACCCUUAGGACUGGGAUAACCCUGGGAAACUGGGGAUAAUACUGGAUAGGCAAUUUUUCCUGGAAUGGUUUUUUGUUUAAAUGUUUUUUCGCCUAAGGAUGGGUCUGCGGCCGAUUAGGUAGUUGGUUAGGUAACGGCUUACCAAGCCAUUGAUCGGUACGGGUUGUGAGAGCAAGAGCCCGGAGAUGGAACCUGAGACAAGGUUCCAGGCCCUACGGGGUGCAGCAGGCGCGAAACCUCCGCAAUGUGAGAAAUCGCGACGGGGGGAUCCCAAGUGCCAUUCUUAACGGGAUGGCUUUUCAUUAGUGUAAAGAGCUUUUGGAAUAAGGGCUGGGCAAGACCGGUGCCAGCCGCCGCGGUAACACCGGCAGCUCUAGUGGUAGCAGUUUUUAUUGGGCCUAAAGCGUCCGUAGCCGGUUUAAUAAGUCUCUGGUGAAAUCCUGUAGCUUAACUGUGGGAAUUGCUGGAGAUACUAUUAGACUUGAGACCGGGAGAGGUUAGAGGUACUCCCAGGGUAGAGGUGAAAUUCUGUAAUCCUGGGAGGACCGCCUGUUGCGAAGGCGUCUAACUGGAACGGUUCUGACGGUGAGGGACGAAAGUUAGGGGCGCGAACCGGAUUAGAUACCCGGGUAGUCCUAACUGUAAACGAUGCGGACUUGGUGUUGGGGGUGGCUUUGAGCUGCUCCAGUGCCGAAAGGGAAGCUGUUAAGUCCGCCGCCUGGGAAGUACGGUCGCAAGACUGAAACUUAA